rnacentral:lncRNA from 1 species
UCAGAUCUGACACUAUAAAUAUCAAAUUCCACAUAACUAAGUGCUUCCCACUUUUGCACCACUUACUGCGACGAUUGCGGAUUUUUGUGUGUGUGUGUAUCUCAAGAACCAGAUUAUCAAAUAACAACUAUCCAUGUUUAUUCUUGAUUUCUUUCUAAUUGUAAAAUCCAUUUACGAUUUCUACGUACGUACAAUAGUUUUAAAGUUUAGACCAAACGCUAGAAUAUCAUAUUUGGUUUUUGACAAUAAUCAUACGCCAAAAAAAAAAAAACCAUGUCCGAUCCUGGAUUCAAUAUAAAUAAAAGAUAAAAC